rnacentral:rRNA from 1 species
UCGCUAUGGGAUGGCCCCGCGGUGCAUUAGCUAGUUGGUAAGGCAACGGCUUACCAAGGCAAUGAUGCAUAGCCGAGUUGAGAGACUGAUCGGCCACAUUGGGACUGAGACACGGCCCAAACUCCUACGGGAGGCAGCAGUAGGGAAUCUUCCACAAUGGACGCAAGUCUGAUGGAGCAACGCCGCGUGAGUGAAGAAGGUUUUCGGAUCGUAAAGCUCUGUUGUUGGUGAAGAAGGAUAGAGGUAGUAACUGGCCUUUAUUUGACGGUAAUCAACCAGAAAGUCACGGCUAACUACGUGCCAGCAGCCGCGGUAAUACGUAGGUGGCAAGCGUUGUCCGGAUUUAUUGGGCGUAAAGCGAGCGCAGGCGGAAGAAUAAGUCUGAUGUGAAAGCCCUCGGCUUAACCGAGGAACUGCAUCGGANACUGUUUUUCUUGAGUGCAGAAGAGGAGAGUGGAACUCCAUGUGUAGCGGUGGAAUGCGUAGAUAU